GUUUCGGUGACCGAGAAUAAAAUAGGUGAAAGAUUUUUAAUCUUUUUACAGGAAUAUACCACCUCCGAGAUA
rnacentral:tRNA from 1 species